AAUAAACGAAUUCCUAACCUUUGGAUUGAAUUUUUAAUUCUUCAUCUUAUUUGAAAAUUUUUCAUGAUUAAUAUUUUUAUUGUUAUUAUAUGAUAAAACAUGAAUAGUACUUUGCAUGUGACUAAUUUUUUUUAAUUUUUUACUAAAUUUUUCAAAUAAGACGGAUGGUCAAACACUCCAUAGAUAAAACUCGG
rfam:Oryza brachyantha chromosome 3, whole genome shotgun sequence.